AAGUAAGAUAGCAGUGCUCGAAGUUUACAAAUGUCCCAGAAUAUUGGCAGACCGCCUGGACUUUUCAAGGGAAAGGUCACAAAGUUGAUCAGAGGGCUGGAACAUUUCCCCUGUAAGGACAGGCUGAGAAAGCUGAGGUUGUUCAGUCUGGAGAAGAGAGGAGGGCCUACAGAAAUUCUGGGGUGAGAUAUUUUAUAAGGGCGUGUAGCAACAGGAUGUAGGAAAAUGGCUAUAAAAUGGAAGAGAGUAGAUUUAGACUAGUCAUAAGGAAGAAUAUAAGAAAUUAUAAGGAAGAAGUUUUUCUCUGUGAGAGUAAUGAGACACUGGAACAGGUUGCUCAGAGACAUUGUGGGUGUCCCCUCCCAGGAGGUGUUCAAGGCCACGCUAGAUGGGGCUUUGAGCAACCUGGUCUAGCAGGAGGUGUCCUUGUCCAUGGCAAGGGUUAGAACAACACAUUCUCUAAGGUCCCUUCCAACACAUACCAUUCUGUGAUUCUAUGAAAAUUAGUAAUGACAUUUUUAUUUUACUUGGCAACAAAUUCACCACAUCAAGAUGUUUUGCCUGCAGUGGUAGUUAGAAAGCAAUCUACCUGUCUUAAUCUUGAUCCUUCUUGUUCUUUCUGCUUUCUAAUCCCAUCCUACUGCAGGAGGAAUUAAGUAAGCAGCUAAGUAAGCAUUUGGCUUUUAGCCAAGUCUAACCCAUCUUGUUGCUCUUAAGAAUUUCUGCCUUGUUCUUGCCUCCUAAAUAUUUAGUCAUCAGGUCCAGUUUCCACCUUGGACAUGUCAAUAUUCCUGCAAAGUACAACUAAUUUUGUAAGUAAGUGUAAAUAAGUUCAAAGUGAUCUUGAAAAUUUAAACUCAAAGGUACUUUUUUCUUUUUCUUUUUCUUUUUUAUUUUAAUAGCAGAUAGGCUAGGCUAUGCUCUAUGCUUGCCUAGAAGAUUUUAUCAGGAUUUAGAAACAUUAGAGACACUUCAACCCACUUUCUCCUCUUCCUUUUGUGACACACUUUAGUUUUUGUCACAUAUAAAAUGGAAUAAAAAUCAUCAAUAGUACUAAAAUGAAUGUCUGUCUAAGAAUUACCAUUUCUGAUGCAGUUGAUGUAGCACAUGUAAAAAGUAUAUUUUGCUUUGGUCUGAUGGAAAUGUGCAUCUGAUUUAGAAUAAUUUGUCUUGCUACUUGAGCAAACAAAAUGUAAUUAAGUUGCCUAUAACAGCUAAGAAUAAUAGCUUCUCAUUAAUAUUGUUACCUGGGUGUUAAAAAACCUAAAGCAAGGCAAAUGUAAUGAAUUUAGCAAGUUAACAGAAUUGCCUUUUUUUUUUUUUAAGCAAUCUUUUCAUGCCACUGUAUUUGAGAUGGUGUCAGCAUUGCUAUUAUAAAUAAUUUAAGCAUUUAUAACUCAGUAAGAGAAGAGCACUAGUUCAGUCACAUUCUAAAUGAGUUAUUUGCUCAAUAUGUCUUCAAGGCUUAAGGGAACAUAAGAUAAAACUUACAUUUUCCUCUAGGGGCAUUAGUAAUUAAGCUAGAUAUUCAACUUUAACCAGACAAUUAAAAAAGGUUCCUCAGUGCUACUUUGAAUGCAAAGUUUGUCUAAACAUGAUGUACUUACAUGCAGGAUAGGAUGAUUUUGGGAGGUAUUCCAAGAACAGAAACAGCAGUGACUAUCACUGCUUGUCAAAUAAUGAAUAAUAAGAGUUGUCCUGCAGAGGACAAGUGAGAGGUCAGAGGAAGAAGAUAGCUUUUUUUCUUUUGUUAACGGAUGGUGCAAAAAUUCUAUGUUACCAUUCGGAUGGAGAAAAUAUAAGAUAUUGUUCUAGGCCCCUUUCCAAAAAAGCACUUAUACUUUCAUUUGUGUGGUAGUGAACAGUCUUGCUGAUUUCAGCCACUUUUCACAUGGCUAAAUUGAAGCACACACUUACAGAACUGUUGGAUUGUUGCUGAGACAGAUGCAUACUUAGGAAGCAAAAGAGCAGUAAGGUUGAAAUUAGUAAUUCAGUCACAACACUAGCAUCAUUCUCAUGAUGCAUAAAAGCAUUAUUUUUCAACAUUCACUUCUCUUUCUGAAGGACUGGAAACAAAUAGCAGGUAAUAAUCAGAACAGUUUAAAUCUGCAGUUUAGUAAUUCAAAUCUUAUAUGAUAAUUUUUUGCAUUCUCACUCUUGUGCCAAAUUAAAAGUUUUGAAAUAGAAUUAAUGGAGUUAGAAUUCACAUGAGAAUUUGUUAAUUGCUGUGAUAAAAAUAAUGAGAUUGACAGGCUUGAGAACUGGGCCCUAAUGAGGUUCAACAAGGGCAAGUGUAAGGACUUGGGGGGUCCUGGUGGAUGAGAAGCUGGACAUGAGCCAAUAGUAUGCAUAUGCAGCCCAGAGGGCCAACUGUAUUCGGGGCUGCAUUAAAAAAGGAGUGGCCAGAAGGGAUAGGGAGGUAAUUGUCCCCUUCUACUCAGCUCUUGUGAGACUGCCUGAACCCAUCUUUGGCUUUGGCUUUGGCUCAAAGCUUGCUUUCUGAGGCAUUUCUUGUGAUAAGACUCUUACUUAUCUAGGAGAUGAGAGGUGCUGUGUGGCAGUGGGCAUCACUGUGUGGACUAUUUUACAUUUGAAAACAUUUCUUUGGAGCUGUUUGCCUUCUGAAGAGAAUGCUCAGGACUGUUUUCUGGCGGAAGAUCUGUCCUGUGACCAAAUAACUCCAGAUUGCUAUGGCAGACUGGGGGGAUGAUACCAUUGUAUCCUGUGAAGGCAAGAAAUAAGGGGGUGCCUCCCUGCUCCCUCUUGUCUGCUGGCAAGGCCCAGAAGAUGGGAACAAAAGGAGUUCCUGCUGUGAUCCAAAAGCCAGCAGCUGUCACUACAAAAGGAGCUGACUAGGCCACUUUGGACUUAUAAAUAAGCUUGUACUGACAUUGGAAAGAGUCGUUGUCAUCGUCGCUGUCAUUAUCGUCAAAUGAACAACAACCCCUGAUGACCCAUCACUACUGAAGAUCAACAUCUGAACUACGAGCAGUGCUGGAAUCCAUGGUGCUAGACAGAGGCCCCAUCUGGAGUACUGCAUCCAUGUGUGAGGCCCCCAGCACAAGAAAGACGCAGAGCUCUUGGAACAGGUCCAGAGGAGGACCACUAAGAUGAUCAGAGGGCUGGAGCACCUAUGAAGAAAAGUUGAGGGAACUGGGCUUGUUUAGCUUGGAGAAGAGAAGGCUCCAGGGAGACCUCCCUGUGGCCUUCCAGUACUUAAAGGGAGAGUAUAAACAGGAGGGGGUACAACUGUUUACAUGGGUCGAUAGUGACAUGACAAGGGCAAUAGUUUUAAACUAAUACAGGGGGACUUUAGGUUAAAUAUUAGGAGGAAGUUUUUCACUCAGAGGGUGGUGAUGCACUGGAACAGGUUGCCCAAGGAGGUAGUGGAUGCCCCAUCUCUGGAGGCAUUCAAGGCAAGGAUAAGUGUGCCUCUGGUCUAGUCAUUGGUGACCUUGCCCAUGGCAGGGGGGAUGAAGCUAGAUGAUCUUUGAGGUCUUUUUCAAUCUAGGCCGAUCUGUGAUUCUAUGUUUUGCAGUAGAUGAGCUACUGCUGGACAAUUUCUGCAUGUAUCAUUUUUAAAAGAAUUUACACUGAUUACAUCAGAACAUUCAGUCUUUCUUGACAGUCUUUUUUCUUGUUAUUGGCAGGGCAGUAAUUACUACAUAAAAAUAUGUAUGUAGGAACAGAGAACACUUUAAGAACUUUGUUAUGAGGUAAAUACUAGGCAAAAAAUAUAAAAGGAGAAUUUGUAAUGAGCACAUCCGAUAAUACACAAAAAGUAUAUUUUCUUCUUUUUUUUUCCUCCCUCUCCUAAUGAGGUUCUGAAUAAAAUCAUUUAAAAAUGAUCCUUCCUUUUGUGUUAAGAAAGAGAGCUUCUUCUAUCGCAUGUCCAUAUCACUUGAAGUACUACUCUAGGUAUUCAAAUGAUUCCAAUCCCUUGAAAUCAGCAUGAGCAGAUAGAAGGCAAACCUGAUGAAGAGCUCGUUAGGCAAUCUCAGAAAAGAUUUUGAAGUGAUAAACUAUUUUUGCUGUUUUCACAAAUUUUCAGGUAUAAAGUCCUAGGUUCUGUUUCACAUGGAGCAGACAAAUCACCUGGGAAGCUGAUGCCCUUUGAUGAAGAGAAAGCCUCUAAGACUUUCUUUAACUCUGCAUCAAUUCAUAGGAAAGAAGUUUUGGAACCAUGGCUCAUAGAGCUUUUAACCUUUUGUGGAGACUGCCUGAUGAGGUUCUGCACAGAUGCCUUUAUGGAAUGAGGUGACAAUCCCCCUCCAUAUCCAAUUAAUCCUUCAGAAAUAGAUGCUGAAGCAGCUUUCAUUUUUUUGCAGUUGUAUUUUGGUCCAUUGUAGAGCUGAGCUUCUGAAAGAUGUUCUCCACUGAUUCUGAGAAUCUCUAACUACAUUUUUUGUUUAUGAGAUUAUCAUUUGUGAGCCAGUCAGGGUUUAAAUUCAACACUUUGCUCUGGUAAAUUAAAGUUACUUGAUUGAAAUGUAUCUUGCUAAUCAUAGUACAUAAAGCUUUAAUUCACAAAUCUAUAUCCCAUACAGGGAGAUUACAGUACUAGAUGUACUACAGUACUGUUAAUUUGCCAUUACUGUUGAACUUUAAAUCUCUAGAGAAAGGUUGGAAUAAUAUUCAUGAGACAGGACAGUAGCUAUAAAACCAACAGAAUAAAACCAUCUUGCGGAGGCACUGUCAUGGUUUUGGAUGGCGUAGUGUUAAAUUUUUCAUAGAGGUUUGGAUAAUGCUGUGUUUUGAAUUUUUGAUAAGAAUAAUGUUGAUAACACACUGAUGUUUUGCUUGUUGCAGAGAAGUUCUAUGAGAGAGAGAAGAACAUUUCAGCUUCUUGUGCUGCCCUGCCAGUGAGGAGACGGGGGGUGCAAAGAAGCUGAGGUGGGACAGAACCAGGACAGCUGACCCAAAAUGUCCAAAGGAAUAUCCUAUACCAUAUGACAUAGUUCUGACAAUAAAACUGGGAGACUGAGUGAGCUGUGUCAUGCUGAGCUGCCUGCCAGGGUUAAACCACAGCAGUAGUGCACCCAACAGAGGACUGGAAGAGUUUGAGAUUAUGACAGAUUUGACUGGAGUAUGGAGCGUGCUACACCAAAUGCAUAGUUGUUAUACUCUUCAGCUGCUAAUUGGUAUGCUCCCACAGUUUUCCUGGGUCUUGCUUGCCUUACUGUAUUUUGGAGUCUACUAUCUGUUAGUGGAUGCUUUUGCUCUGUCUUCCCUCUCCACUUUCUACUUUCCACUCUCCCCUCUCCUCAGAAAACAAACAAACAAUAAUAGUAAUAAUAAUAGUAAUAGUAAUAAAACAAAACAAACAAACAAAACAAAACAAAACAAAAAAACCCGGAGGUUUUUAAUCAGUAGAUGGCAGUAAGAGCUAGCAAGAAGCCUGAAAGGGAGUCUCACAGACCUACACAUUAAUCAUACAUAUAGCAAAUUCCACAAAGUACAAGCCGACAAAGACCCUGCUUUACCACAAUCAAUCUUUAUUCACCACUAGAUUACAGUGGUUAGAUAUAUUUGAUUGCCACAGGUCCAAGAAAAAGCUUAUAAAUAACUAUAAAUGUAAUCGGCUUAAAUUUUUGCCAUUGUAUUUUUUGGUUUUAUUUUUGUUGUAGGCUGAGAUUGGGGUGCAAUCUGUUUAUCCUUAGAUUUGUUGUAUGACCACCCAGUCCAUCUGUCACCUUGACUUUGAAGCUGUAAUUUUAAUGUUUGGCUCUGUAAAUGUUUAAAGCAUCAUUACAAAUUUACAAAGGGAAAGAUACUGCUAACGGUGCAGCUGAAAUAAGACUGUCUCAGCUCACUUGUCUUUACUCCAAGACUUUCACUGCUGUGUGCCUGUGUUUUAAGCUGAAAUGAUAUCACAACAGUGAAGUAAUGCUGCAUUGUACUGCAGGAUCCAUUUUGGACAGCUCUAUUCUCUAGCCUGCAUUGCUUUUUCAAAAAGUCACAAUGUACAAUGGAUGUUCUCUUUAUUCACUUGUGAAAGGUAUGAAUUCAUGUAUUUUUCUAACAUACACUCAGCAAAAAAAGCAGUGUAAGUAUACUUGAAAAAAAAAAAAAAAAAGAAAAUAGAAUAAUAAUGUUGAUUUACUUUCCAGCUCACUAUCUAUAUAUAGUUAGAAAUGUAUAUUUAAUUUUCUGUAAAUUUGCAAGCUUUUUAACUGUGUAAUAUAUAUAAAAUUUGAAAUCCACACUGUAUUUCUCUGUUUGACUCUAUUUGUUUAAGCUAUGUAUUUGUGUACCAAUCAGACCUAUGAUAGUUUUAUUUAACUUCACAGUCCUUUUUCUGUGAAAGAAAAUUGUCUUUUUCUGCUUCCCAUUCAGUAGUACAGAUGUACAAGAAUUUUGUAACAAUCUUAAAUUUUCUUGCUUAAUAAAAAUAUUUUCACAGUAUAACACUGAAAUAACAUCAUGUAAGAUUGAAAGAAAAAAGAGAAGCACAAAAUUAAAGAGAAGUUUGUGGCCUUUAGUUAUAAAUAUAGAGGAGUUUAUGGAGGCCACAAUGAAACAAUCAGCUCUGAAAGAAGUUUGAGACAAGAAAGCAUUAUUUCCAUAGGAGGUGAGUAGGGUCAGGGCACUGGUUCUGAAAAGCACCAUAAACUUUUGAAAGAUAUAAUUAAUGAUGAAAACAGGCAGACAGAUUAAGAGGUGCAUAUAUGUGUGCAUAGAUAUGUACAUUAUAUAUAAAUAUAAAUGAUAUAGUUACAGAUAUUGAUAGCAUAAUUAAUUUCUAGUUGGUCAAUAUUAGGAACCGCUAUAUAGCAUAGUAGUUGCAUUUGCUGUGGGGUGCUGGCAUUAAGAAAUUUGUAUACCAUGGUUAAACAUAUAUACAGCAAUGAAUUCAACUCAGUAAGUGUUCCCUCUCCCCCUACAAAGUACACUGAUGUUUUAUAUUCUGUUGAAAUCAAUUGAAGUGUAUCACAUUGGCAUCCAAAGAAAACAACAGUUGGUGAUUUCAGAUUUCCCAGGUGAGGACUGCAAUCAGUUGAUCAAACUGCAAUUGCUUUUUACUCUGGGGUAAAUACAAAUAUGCAUGGAUUGUUCUUUGUGGUCAUGCUUCAGUGGUAUCCAGCUAGCUUCUGACAUCACCAGGUCUCCUUUACAGGCAGAUAAUUUUAUCCUUUUGCCAAGGACAGCCACUUUAGUCACAGCAUUUUGUAUCUGCCUUGGCUGCAGGAGAGUCAUCUCUUUUAACACAUUCAGAAACGAAUAUAUUUUACCAACAAAUUCUCCAUUCUAACAUUUUUGCUUCAUUUGUGAUUUUUUAUUCUUUUAUGUGGCCCUUUUACAUUAAAGCUAAACCAGAGCAUUCCUUCAUAAAUAAAUAAAUAAAUAAAUCUAGCUGAUUGAGUGCCAAAGACUGCACAAUAGACUUCACUAAGAGCUGAGAUUUAUUCAUUGCAAGCAUAAAGCAUUUGAGUACUCUGCAAUUUAAUCUUUUUUUUUUUUUUUUUUUUUUUUUUUUCACUUUCAUCAAGCAAUUGGUAGGCUGUAGAGAGUUCUAGCAAUUUUUUUGAUUAAUUCAGUACAAUAUUACCUUUGGUUCUCUAUCAGCAUGAAGGUUAUAAAAACAAUAGCAUUUAAGAUAUAGAAAAUAUCUCAAAAAGGUGACAAUAAUACUAAAUAUGUAUUCUAUUUUUUGACAAAAAUGUCGAUGCAGGACUGAAAAGGAGUAAUAAAAUACCACUGUGAUAUUAACACUUUGUGGGAGGACACUGUCAUCUUUGUAAUUUAAUGCUUUGUUUGUUUUUCAUAGUUUUUACACUGGCAGAAUAUCCAGAGCCCAGUAUAAAUUUUUAAAAAGUCAGAAAUUCAUUAAUACUUCUCUUUAUGUCAUGUUCACAGAUUGAAUCUGAUUGGAAUUUCAAAGAAGGUCAGAGUGAACUUUUCAAGUUUUAUGUGAAUAAAAACACCCAACAGGAUCAAAACCUAUUCCACUUUAUUCAUUCAGAAUAUAAUCAAAUAAAUAUGGGCUUAACAGCUUCUUUCUUUAACCCCAAAUUCGAAAGGCUUAUGUGAGUUCUUCCAUUACCUUGCUAUUGUGGAAAUACUGAGAAGCAACUUCCUCUCCAUUUCAAGUUUCAUACUGGAAUUAAUGCACUAAUAUCUGUCUUGGGAAACAGGUAUUUGUAAUGUUAAUUCAGUCCUCAUCAGCAUCAUAACUUUAGAGCUAAUGACAAAAUGAUGUAACAAGAUAAUGGAGUCUGAAAGUGAACAAUAGAAAUUAUGUUCCACUCCCCAAUCCAGACACAUUUUUUAAAUAUUAGAGAUGUGGAACAAAGGUAAUGAGAAUCUGACAAGUCACUCACUAUUUGACAGUAAGGAGAAAUACAGAGAAAAAGAGAGUGUUGAAGACUCAAAAAGUGCAGUGGGAGGAAACACAGCACCAACUGUACAGAAGCAAUUUUCAUGUCACAGUCUGUAUUAAGGAAUUAAUGUCAGUUUUUCUCCUCACUUCAAAAUAUUGAUAUUUAAAACAAUCAAAACGGUUUUAUUCAAAAAGUUCCAGUAGCAGCAGUAUUAAAUUAUAGAAUUAUUUUAUUAAAUUAAACAGAAAAAUACUGAGGUUUUAUUAGCUGUGUAGAGAUGACAGGUAACCCCUUUUCUUCAACAGACUGGUGUAAGAGGGUGAUCUUAUAUUUAUUGACUUGCCACACUCUCGUGUGAUCUGUCUUUUGUACAUGUAGCUAUCUGCCAAUCAGAAGGCAGAUAGUGGAAAAUACCUUUCUCCAUCUCUUUGCCUGUGUACUCAUCCUCAUCCACAAAAUAUUUCCUUCACUUCAACAGUGUAAGUCCAUUUAAAAGUAUACAGAAAC
ensembl:lncRNA